CCACUAAAGAACUUAUCCAUGUCACCAAACACCACCAGUCCUCCAAAAACUAUCAAAAUUCAAUAUAGUAACUAAUUCUUCUGAGCCUCAAAUUCUCUGUGUAUUAAAUUGGAAAAGACAAUGUAAUCAAAAAAAUUAGUGAGUAGAGGGAAAACCAUACACUGCCUCUAUCUGUUUACUGUGGUAGAUUUCAAAACUACCACAGUGAUGUCAACGCAUGCAAAGUUGGAAAGAGAUGUGCAUAAUUGAAUUUUGCUCUUGCAAAUCAGCAGCUCCAGCAUACCCCUGGCGACAGACACACAUCUAAGACAUGUAGCCUAGUCAAAUUUCACAAGCAAUAAAGCUGAUAGUUGGAAACAAAUUACAUUAAUAUCAUUUCUUACUAAUCAGAUUUUCAAAUACAAAAAACCUUGAAAAUAUAGUCUCUUGGUAAGGUUUGUCUCAUAAUUGUUGCUGGGAGUGCAAACUAUUCACUCCUAUUGAAGUGACAGUGUCUAUAGAGAAUA
rnacentral:lncRNA from 1 species